rnacentral:rRNA from 1 species
UCGGGAAUAUUGCGCAAUGGAGGAAACUCUGACGCAGUGACGCCGCGUGCAGGAAGAAGGUUUUCGGAUUGUAAACUGCUUUAGACAGGGAAGAAACAAGACAGUACCUGUAGAAUAAGCUCCGGCUAACUACGUGCCAGCAGCCGCGGUAAUACGUAGGGAGCAAGCGUUAUCCGGAUUUAUUGGGUGUAAAGGGUGCGUAGACUGGAAUGCAAGUUGGUUGUGAAAUCCCUCGGCUCAACCGAGGAAUUGCAACCAAAACUAUAUUUCUUGAGUGCUGGAGAGGAAAGUGGAAUUCCUAGUGUAGCGGUGAAAUGCGUAGAUAUUAGGAGGAACACCAGUGGCGAGGGCGACUUUCUGGACAGUAACUGACGUUGAAGCACGAAAGUGUGGGGAGCAAACAGGAUUAGAUACCC